GGAUGCGAUCAUACUAGCACUAAUGCACUGGAUUUCAUCAAAACAUUGAAGUUAAGCGUGCUUGGGCAAGAGUAGUACUAGGAUGGGUGACCCCCUGGGAAGUCCUCAUGUUGCAUCCC
rnacentral:rRNA from 1 species